rnacentral:lncRNA from 1 species
UUAAUUGCUAAACUGACCUCAAGCAGCAUUGUGUUUAGUAAGAAGCCAUUUCCACUUCAGUUUCCAUAAAACACAGAGGCAGAAACAGCGUGAACACAAUAAAUACUUUAUAUGUCUAGAGUCAUAAAUAUUAAGAUUCAAUGUGCAGUGUAAGAGGUGUGGAUACAGUCAGUAAGGAACAGCGUAAAGGUGUGGAUACAGUCCAGUAAGAACAGCGCGUAAAGGUGUGGAUACAGUCAGUAAGGAACAGCGCAAAGGUGUGGAUACAGUCAUAAGGAACAGCGCAAAGGUGUGGAUACAGUCAGUAAGGAACAGUGUAAAGGUGUGGAUACAGUCAGUAAGGAACAGUGUAAAGGUGUGGAUACAGUCAGUAAGGAACAGUGUAAAGGUGUGGAACAGUCAGUAAGGAAUUGUAAAUGUGGAUACAGUCAGUAAGGAACAUGUAAAGGUGUGGAUAGGGACACAGUAAAACCAUG